GUGGGGAAUAUUGCGCAAUGGGGGAAACCCUGACGCAGCGACGCCGUGUGAGGGAAGAAGGCUUUCGGGUCGUAAACCUCUGUCAGAAAGGAAGAACCUCCCAUAUCCGAAUAGGGUGUGGGACUGACGGUACUUUCAAAGGAAGCACCGGCUAACUCCGUGCCAGCAGCCGCGGUAAUACGGAGGGUGCUAGCGUUAAUCGGAAUCACUGGGCGUAAAGCGCGCGUAGGCCGCUUCUUAAGUCGGACGUGAAAGCCCUCGGCUCAACCGGGGAACUGCGUUCGAUACUGGGAGGCUUGAGUCCUGGAGAGGGUGGCGGAAUUCCGGGUGUAGGAGUGAAAUCCGUAGAUAUCCGGAGGAACACCGGUGGCGAAGGCGGCCACCUGGACAGGUACUGACGCUGAGGCGCGAAAGCGUGGGGAGCAAACAGGAUUAGAAACCCUGGUAGUCC
rnacentral:rRNA from 1 species